GCCCCUGUAGCUCAGAUGGUUAGAGCAGGGAACUCAUAAUUCCAAGGUCGUGGGUUCGAGCCCCGCCGGGGGCA
rnacentral:tRNA from 1 species